rnacentral:sRNA from 12 species
ACUGUGGACUAUACAAGAACUUGUAAGUAGUGAAUUAGAAAUAAUCACAAAAGCAUAUAGGUUGAAGCAGUAA